rnacentral:rRNA from 1 species
GACGAACGCUGGCGGCGUGCUUAACACAUGCAAGUCGAACGGUGAAGCCCUUCGGGGUGGAUCAGUGGCGAACGGGUGAGUAACACGUGAGCAACCUGCCCCUGGCUCUGGGACAACCACUGGAAACGGUGGCUAAUGCCGGAUACGACCCGCCUCGGCAUCGAGUGUGGGUGGAAAGUUUUUCGGCUGGGGAUGGGCUCGCGGCCUAUCAGCUUGUUGGUGAGGUGAAGGCUCACCAAGGCGACGACGGGUAGCCGGCCUGAGAGGGCGACCGGCCACACUGGGACUGAGACACGGCCCAGACUCCUACGGGAGGCAGCAGUGGGGAAUAUUGCACAAUGGGCGAAAGCCUGAUGCAGCGACGCCGCGUGAGGGAUGACGGCCUUCGGGUUGUAAACCUCUUUCAGCUCCGAAGAAGCGAAAGUGACGGUAGGAGCAGAAGAAGCACCGGCUAACUACGUG